GCUUUUACUGGAAGUUUCAGUUAUAAUAGUUUGCUUAUUUGAACAAGAUUUUGCACCCCUUUUGUAUGUUUGAAGCUUCAUGAAUGAUGAAACUAACAUCCCUUUGAAAUUAUGUGUUCUAUUUUUAUUAUCAUCAUUUUUUAAAAUGUUUUUCACUUAAUGUUGACAAUGUGAGGAUGGCUUGUCACUGUGGAAACCUAGGUCUCAUGGUCACUGAUUUUGGAUAUGUAAAAGAUCUUCUCUAAAAUGUUCACAGCUCUUUUUUUUUCCAAUUUUCAUAGAUUUUUUUUUUAACACUAAGAGCAUCUGAGGUGGUAUUGGAAUGUCUGAGACAGAAGUGUGA
rnacentral:misc_RNA from 1 species